UCUAGUGAAGGAGAAGAAAUAUGUUGCUGUAGAACUAUUCCAACUAAUAAAUGAAGAAGAAAUGACAGAACCAGAAUAUCACCAUUUUGUGACCCUAAUUGAAUGGAUCUAACUACGCACCCAGAGCUGCCAACACCACAAGAGGCAACCAGACAUACAUGUGUCUCUUGAUGAAAGACACGCUACUUAUGAGGUAAGGAUGAAGUAAGCACCUCCAUCCUGUCUUUCCCACUGAAUGUCACUGUAAUACCUGGGCAGAAUGCAUACAACACCUAUAAGAAGGCUGAAAAGCCAAUAGUGACUGAUUGAAUAAGAAGACUUAACAUUUCCAUGAACUAGAGGAAUUACUUCCAAGUAAAGAGCCCAAGACCUCCUAAGGGACACCCUGGUAGACACCUCUAUUUUCCAAAGAGAGAAGUCAUUCUUACCUGUGUCCUGAUUGUUAUUUAGGACACAUGGUUCAGUGUUUAUGCCAGGUCAGGUCUGUACCCUGAAGUUGAUGAGGACAUUCACUUUGCUUUAUGGGUACUCUCAGGAGAAAUGUGACCUACUUGAAGAAUGGGAAGCUGGCACCUCUCAGCAUGAGACUUAUUUUUAUCUUAAGAACACUUUGAACCAGAUGAAGAAACUGAAGCAUUGAUGGGUAAAGCCACUUGAUCGGGGUGCUCAGUGAACAAGAGAAGGAGUCAGGAUUUGGGCCUCUGCUCAGGUCAGCCAGAAAGAAGGAUUUGUGUGGAUGGCGGUCAUCUGAACUGCAGUGUCCAGGGCACCAGGAACCAGUUGGAUGUUCCACACUCUGGCAUGAGCCCUAUGCUGGCGACUGAGGUCUGGGAGGUGAUGGAAGAGCCACUGGCAUGACAAUGGUGAAUUUUGAACUGAUUCCGGAGUCAUGUGGUUUCAUGAGAUGCACCUCGGAUCUCCCCAGAAGAGGUAACCCAUACCUGGCGCCGGAGGGACGCAGGUCUGCAGCUGAGCCUGCUCCAUGGACCAUGGGACUGGACACAGCAGCAAUGCAAGAAGACCCAGGCCCAGCGCUGGGGAAAGGUUUUUUAGCUGUAAGAGGGGCUCAUCAGACCUUGGUUUUCUCUGCCUCCUUUUAAGUCCUUAUCUCUGUUCAACUUUAUAACCAUCAGAAUUGAUCUACUGAAAUUGCUUUUUUAGAGUCAUCCAGUUGUAGGACACAAAUCCAGGGUAAAGUUUCCAGAUUCCCCACCAUCCUGGAUGUCAACUUGGUGACUGCCACUGUGAUUUGAGGCUGAGACCAAUGGUCUAAACAUGGUCUGAUUAACCCAAAAAACA